GUUAUAUGGUCAAGUGAAGAAGCGCAUACGGUGGAUGCCUUGGCAGUCAGAGGCGAUGAAAGACGUGGUAGCCUGCGAAAAGCUUCGGGGAGUCGGCAAACAGACUUUGAUCCGGAGAUCUCUGAAUGGGGGAACCCACCUAGGAUAACCUAGGUAUCUUGUACUGAAUCCAUAGGUGCAAGAGGCGAACCAGGGGAACUGAAACAUCUAAGUACCCUGAGGAAAAGAAAUCAACCGAGAUUCCCUUAGUAGUGGCGAGCGAACGGGGAUUAGCCCUUAAGCUUCAUUGAUUUUAGCGGAACGCUCUGGAAAGUGCGGCCAUAGUGGGUGAUAGCCCCGUACGCGAAAGGAUCUUUGAAGUGAAAUCGAGUAGGACGGAGCACGAGAAACUUUGUCUGAACAUGGGGGGACCAUCCUCCAAGGCUAAAUACUACUGACUGACCGAUAGUGAACCAGUACCGUGAGGGAAAGGCGAAAAGAACCCCGGAGAGGGGAGUGAAAUAGAACCUGAAACCGUAUGCGUACAAGCAGUGGGAGCCUACUUGUUAGGUGACUGCGUACCUUUUGUAUAAUGGGUCAGCGACUUAUAUUCAGUGGCAAGCUUAACCGUAUAGGGUAGGCGUAGCGAAAGCGAGUCUUAAUAGGGCGUUUAGUCGCUGGGUAUAGACCCGAAACCGGGCGAUCUAUCCAUGAGCAGGUUGAAGGUUAGGUAACACUGACUGGAGGACCGAACCCACUCCCGUUGAAAAGGUAGGGGAUGACUUGUGGAUCGGAGUGAAAGGCUAAUCAAGCUCGGAGAUAGCUGGUUCUCCUCGAAAGCUAUUUAGGUAGCGCCUCAUGUAUCACUCUGGGGGGUAGAGCACUGUUUCGGCUAGGGGGUCAUCCCGACUUACCAAACCGAUGCAAACUCCGAAUACCCAGAAGUGCCGAGCAUGGGAGACACACGGCGGGUGCUAACGUCCGUCGUGAAAAGGGAAACAACCCAGACCGCCAGCUAAGGUCCCAAAGUUGUGGUUAAGUGGUAAACGAUGUGGGAAGGCUUAGACAGCUAGGAGGUUGGCUUAGAAGCAGCCAUCCUUUAAAGAAAGCGUAAUAGCUCACUAGUCGAGUCGGCCUGCGCGGAAGAUGUAACGGGGCUCAAACCACACACCGAAGCUGCGGGUGUCACGUAAGUGACGCGGUAGAGGAGCGUUCUGUAAGCCUGUGAAGGUGAGUUGAGAAGCUUGCUGGAGGUAUCAGAAGUGCGAAUGCUGACAUGAGUAACGACAAUGGGUGUGAAAAACACCCACGCCGAAAGACCAAGGGUUCCUGCGCAACGUUAAUCGACGCAGGGUUAGUCGGUUCCUAAGGCGAGGCUGAAAAGCGUAGUCGAUGGGAAACAGGUUAAUAUUCCUGUACUUCUGGUUACUGCGAUGGAGGGACGGAGAAGGCUAGGCCAGCUUGGCGUUGGUUGUCCAAGUUUAAGGUGGUAGGCUGAAAUCUUAGGUAAAUCCGGGGUUUCAAGGCCGAGAGCUGAUGACGAGUCGUCUUUUAGAUGACGAAGUGGUUGAUGCCAUGCUUCCAAGAAAAGCUUCUAAGCUUCAGGUAACCAGGAACCGUACCCCAAACCGACACAGGUGGUCGGGUAGAGAAUACCAAGGCGCUUGAGAGAACUCGGGUGAAGGAACUAGGCAAAAUGGCACCGUAACUUCGGGAGAAGGUGCGCCGGCUAGGGUGAAGGAUUUACUCCGUAAGCUCUGGCUGGUCGAAGAUACCAGGCCGCUGCGACUGUUUAUUAAAAACACAGCACUCUGCAAACACGAAAGUGGACGUAUAGGGUGUGACGCCUGCCCGGUGCCGGAAGGUUAAUUGAUGGGGUUAGCGCAAGCGAAGCUCUUGAUCGAAGCCCCGGUAAACGGCGGCCGUAACUAUAACGGUCCUAAGGUAGCGAAAUUCCUUGUCGGGUAAGUUCCGACCUGCACGAAUGGCGUAACGAUGGCGGCGCUGUCUCCACCCGAGACUCAGUGAAAUUGAAAUCGCUGUGAAGAUGCAGUGUAUCCGCGGCUAGACGGAAAGACCCCGUGAACCUUUACUGUAGCUUUGCACUGGACUUUGAGCCUGCUUGUGUAGGAUAGGUGGGAGGCUUUGAAGCGUGGACGCCAGUUCGCGUGGAGCCAUCCUUGAAAUACCACCCUGGCAUGCUUGAGGUUCUAACUCUGGUCCGUGAUCCGGAUCGAGGACAGUGUAUGGUGGGCAGUUUGACUGGGGCGGUCUCCUCCUAAAGAGUAACGGAGGAGUACGAAGGUGCGCUCAGACCGGUCGGAAAUCGGUCGCAGAGUAUAAAGGCAAAAGCGCGCUUGACUGCGAGACAGACACGUCGAGCAGGUACGAAAGUAGGUCUUAGUGAUCCGGUGGUUCUGUAUGGAAGGGCCAUCGCUCAACGGAUAAAAGGUACUCCGGGGAUAACAGGCUGAUACCGCCCAAGAGUUCAUAUCGACGGCGGUGUUUGGCACCUCGAUGUCGGCUCAUCACAUCCUGGGGCUGAAGCCGGUCCCAAGGGUAUGGCUGUUCGCCAUUUAAAGUGGUACGCGAGCUGGGUUUAGAACGUCGUGAGACAGUUCGGUCCCUAUCUGCCGUGGACGUUUGAGAUUUGAGAGGGGCUGCUCCUAGUACGAGAGGACCGGAGUGGACGAACCUCUGGUGUUCCGGUUGUCACGCCAGUGGCAUUGCCGGGUAGCUAUGUUCGGAAAAGAUAACCGCUGAAAGCAUCUAAGCGGGAAACUUGCCUCAAGAUGAGAUCUCACUGGGAACUUGAUUCCCCUGAAGGGCCGUCGAAGACUACGACGUUGAUAGGCUGGGUGUGUAAGCGUUGUGAGGCGUUGAGCUAAC
rnacentral:rRNA from 1 species